rnacentral:rRNA from 1 species
GACGGAGGGUGCUAGCGUUGUUCGGAAUUACUGGGCGUAAAGGGCGCGUAGGCGGCCUGGUCAGUCGGAUGUGAAAGCCCGGGGCUCAACCCCGGAACGGCAUCCGAGACGGCCAGGCUGGAGACCGGGAGAGGAGAGUGGAAUAGCCAGUGUAGAGGUGAAAUUCGUAGAUAUUAGGAAGAACACCAGUGGCGAAGGCGGCUCACUGGCUCGGUACUGACGCUGAGGCGCGAAAGCGUGGGGAGCAAACAGG